CCUACGGGGGGCAGCAGUAGGGAAUCUUCCACAAUGGGCGAAAGCCUGAUGGAGCAACGCCGCGUGGGUGAAGAAGGUCUUCGGAUCGUAAAACCCUGUUGUUAGAGAAGAAAGUGCGUGAGAGUAACGGUUCACGUUUCGACGGUAUCUAACCAGAAAGCCACGGCUAACUACGUGCCAGCAGCCGCGGUCAUACGUAGGGGGCAAGCGUUAUCCGGAUUUAGUGGGCGUAAAGGGAAGGAAGGCGGUCUUUUAAGUCUGAUGUGAAAGCUGUCGGCUUAACCGGCGUAGUGCAUUUGAAACUGGGAGACUUGAGUGCAGAAGAGGAGAGUGGAACUCCAGGUGUAGCGGUGAAAUGCGUAGAUAUAUGGAAGAACACCAGUGGCGAAGGCGGCUCUCUGGGCUGUAACUGACGCUGAGGUUCGAAAGCGUGGGUAGCAAACAGGAUUAGAUACCCGUGUAGUC
rnacentral:rRNA from 1 species